GGAUGUGAGGGUGAUCUGGCUGCGACAUCUGUCACCCCAUUGAUCGCCAGGGUUGAUUCUGCUGAUUUGGCUGGCUAGGCGGGUGUUUCCUUCCUCCUUCACUGCUCCAUAUGCGUCCCUUCCGGAGCUGCGUGCUCAGUCGAAGAGGAUGGCCUUCCUCGAAUAGAGACAGACUGGUCUUCAGUUGAGGGUAUGCAAAUAGCUGUGUUCCUCUGCUAGAACCUCCAAACAAGCUCUCAAGGUCCUAGAAAAAGUGUAUCUGAUCCUAUUUGUUCUAUUUUUGUACCCAAAUAGGGGUGCUCUGCACCUUGUUUUCUGG
rfam:Erinaceus europaeus unplaced genomic scaffold scaffold00263, whole genome shotgun sequence